rnacentral:rRNA from 1 species
UACGUAGGGGGCAAGCGUUGUCCGGAAUUAUUGGGCGUAAAGAGCUUGUAGGCGGUCUGUCGCGUCUGCUGUGAAAAUCCGGGGCUCAACCCCGGACUUGCAGUGGGUACGGGCAGACUAGAGUGUGGUAGGGGAGACUGGAAUUCCUGGUGUAGCGGUGAAAUGCGUAGAUAUCAGGAGGAACACCGGUGGCGAAGGCGGGUCUCUGGGCCGAUACUGACGCUGAGGAGCGAAAGCGUGGGGAGCGAACAGG